rnacentral:rRNA from 1 species
AUGGCUUUGCUGGCGAGAUGCCUUCUGCUCUGCCUCGCCCUCGUGGUCCUCUCCAUGGGCAGCCUCCCUAGCAGAAGCUCGGCGAUGGGCCUGCCACGGCCGCCGCCGAACGUGAACUUCACCAUCGGCGUCGAGGGCGCCGUCUGGUGCAAGGGGUGCCGGUACGCCGGCUACGUCAAGUCCAGGAACGCGUCCCCGAUCCCGAAUGCCGCGGCGCUGCUGCGGUGCAAGCGCGGGAAGUGGGCGCUGUCGGUGUGGGGCGCCACGGACGGGCGCGGCUACUUCCAGAUCCAGACGGCGCAGCAGUCGGCGCCCUUCACCAGCAAGGACUGCAAGGUGUACGUGCUGGGGUCGCCGGUGCGCGCGUGCGGCGUGCCCGUGAAGCCCCGCGGGAACAAGGGGUCGCCGCUCAAGUUCCGCAAGUUCGUGACGCUCCCCGACGGGCUGCAGGCGCUCUACACGGCCGGCGACUUCGUCUUCGGGCCCAAGAAGCCCGGCAAGUGCUGA